UUGUUUCGGUUCGAUCGGGAUACUCAUCAAAUUACAAUGAAAACCGGGAUUUCUUCUCUUGUUGAUGGCGGGCCACAAUGUUGCGAAAGCAGCAGCUGUAAAGCCGGUGGAUUACAAAGGCAGGGAGGACCCACAACUUUUAUAGCUGGAGUUUUCAUCACAUCAUCGUUGCAACCCC
rnacentral:sRNA from 1 species